CAGUCGCCACGGUAAUACAGAGGGUGCGAGCGUUAAUCGGAUUUACUGGGCGUAAAGCGUGCGUAGGCGGCUUCUUAAGUCGGAUGUGAAAUCCCUGAGCUUAACUUAGGAAUUGCAUUCGAUACUGGGAAGAUAGAGUAUGGGAGAGGAUGGUAGAAUUCCAGGUGUAGCGGUGAAAUGCGUAGAGAUCUGGAGGAAUACCGAUGGCGAAGGCAGCCAUCUGGCCUAAUACUGACGCUGAGGUACGAAAGCAUGGGGAGCAAACAGGAUUAGAUACCCCAGUAGUCCCUGUCUCUUAUAC
rnacentral:rRNA from 1 species